AGAGUUUGAUCAUGGCUCAGGAUGAACGCUGGCGGCGUGCCUAACACAUGCGAGUCGAGCGAUUCUCUUCGGAGAAGAGCGGCGGAUGGGUGAGUAUCGCGUGGUGAACCUGCCCUGUACACACGGAUAACAUACCGAAAGGUAUGCUAAUACGGGAUAAUGUUCUUUUGUCGCAUGGGAAAAGUAUCAAAGCUCCGGCGUUACAGGAUGGACCCGCGUCUGAUUAGCUAGUUGGAGAGGUAAUGGCUCACCAAGGCGACGAUCAGUAGCCGACCUGAGAGAGUGAUCGGCCACAUUGUAACUGGCGCCGGUUUUCAACUCCUACGGGAGGCAGCAGUGGGGAAUAUUGCACAAUGGGCGAAAGCCUGAUGCAGCAACGCCGCGUGAGCGAUGAAGGCCUUCGGGUCGUAAAGCUCUGUCCUCAAGGAAGAUAAUGACGGUACUUGAGGAGGAAGCCCCGGCUAACUACGUGCCAGCAGCCGCGGUAAUACGUAGGGGGCUAGCGUUAUCCGGAAUUACUGGGCGAAAGGGUUUGACAAAGGUGGUUUUCUUAAGUCAGAGGUGAAAGGCUACGGCUCAACCGUAGUAAGCCUUUGAAACUGAGAAACUUGAGUGCAGGAAGGAGAGUAGAAUUCCUAGUGUAGCGGUGAAAUGCGUAGAUAUUAGGAGGAAUACCAGUUGCGAAGGCGGCUCUCUGGACUGUAACUGACACUGAGGCACGAAAGCGUGGGGAGCAAACAGGAUUAGAUACCCUGGUAGUCCACGCCGUAACGAUGAGUACUAGGUGUCGGGGUUACCCCCUCGGCCGCAGCUAACGCAUUAGUACUCCGCCUGGGAGUACGCUCGCAGAGUGAAACUCAA
rnacentral:rRNA from 1 species